AGUACGUGAAACUGCUUAGAGGUUAAACCCGAUGAACCUAAAUAUCCAUUAUGGAAAAUUCAAUAUUAAUGAUACAAUAUUAUAAUUAUAUUGUAAAAGAAAUAUGCAAUUUUUCCAUAUAAGGACAUUGUAAUCUGUUAAUUUAAUAAAUGUUUAUCAAAAGAUUCUCUACUUUAAGUUUAUUCGAAUUGUUUAUUUUCGGAUAUUCAACAUAAAAUAAAUGUAUUGAAUUAAAUAAAAUAUUGACAGAUAUAAUUAUAUAAUAUGCUUAAAUUCUUCGGAAUUUUACAAUUAUAUAUAAAUCUAAGAGUUUAUAUAUAUUAAAUUGUUUGCAUUAUUAUGAUUAACAAUGCGAUAGAUUUAGGAUACCUUCGGGACCCGUCUUGAAACACGGACCAAGGAGUCUAACAUAUGUGCAAGUCAUUGAGUAUUUUGAAUAAAACCCAAUGGCAUAAUUAACUUAACUUUUAAUAUAUAAUGGGAUUAAUUUAUAAUUUAUUAUGAAUUAUUUAUUCAAUCCCGGGGCGUUCUAUAUAGUUAUGUAUAAUAAUAUUUAUAUUAUUUAUACCUCUAACUAGAGCGUACCUUGAGC
rnacentral:rRNA from 1 species